GAUGAAGAACGUAGCGAAAUGCGAUAAGUAAUGUGAAUUGCAGAAUUCAGUGAAUCAUCGAAUCUUUGAACGCACAUUGCGCCCGUCAGUAUUCUGGCGGGCAUGCCUGUUCGAGCGUCAUUACGCCCCUCAAGUCCCCUGUGGACUUGGUGUUGGGGAUCGGCGAGGCUGGUUUUCCAGCACAGCCGUCCCUUAAAUUAAUUGGCGGUCUCGCCGUGGCCCUCCUCUGCGCAGUAGUAAAACACUCGCAACAGGAGCCCGGCGCGGUCCACUGCCGUAAAGCCCCCCAACUUUUUAUAGUUGACCUCGAAUCAGGUAGGACUACCCGCUGAACUUAAGCAUAUCAAUAAGCGGAGGA
rnacentral:misc_RNA from 1 species